AUACUUACCUGGACGGGGUCAAUGGGCAAUCAAGAAGACCCAUGGCCUAGGUUGGUGACCUCCAUUGCACUUUGGAGGGGUGCCUGCCUAAGGUCGGCUCAAGUGGCCGAGCCUAUGUCAUAGUUUGUGGUAGUGGGGGCCUGCGUUUGUGUGGCCCCUAC
rfam:Capsicum annuum cultivar Zunla-1 chromosome 5, whole genome shotgun sequence